GAUUACUGAUGAAUGAAUCUAACAGAUAAUGGAAUGUUUUUGUUUCAGUCACGUUAAAAGGUUGGCUGCCCUGUCUCUGUGACCUAAAUAUCCGGUAUACAAAACCAAGUGUGAAUGUGGAAAGAAUGUGGUCAGAGGACAGCAGCUGUACAUUGCGAGAUAUCCUGAAAAACUGAACCACCUCAACAAAUGCUUUUUGUCUUAUUAAAAUCUUCUGUGAAACAGGAAAUAUUAAUCCAUGGCUGGAGGUCAACAUGAAACUCGGCCUGGUACCAAGACGAAUUGAUUGGCGGUAAACCACCAGUCGUAAAGUAACUUCAACUCUGACUUUGACAAGUUUCAGUUUUUAAGUCCAGGUCUAAAUUCUGAGCUCUCAGUGGAAGAUAAACACAGAAAGUUCAUGUGAAGACUUGUCAUGCGAUUGGAAGACCUUAUUUCUGUGUAGUACUUGAAUGUGUAACCCAGUGAGACUGUAAUAGUUUCUGUGUUGAGAUUCAUUGCCAGGAGAAGACUAGUGAAGACGGAAAAUCCUAGUGUGUGUGCAACAGUGAAAUGGAAAGUGUGUAAAUCAGCAGUAGCACUGUAUUGUCUGUAUUUAAGUGUGAUUACGAGAGGUUGUAGCCAAAGUGGUAAUAAAUCCAAUAAUCUGAA